rnacentral:lncRNA from 1 species
UGACAAUGUACUAACAGGAGUCAUAGAGCCAGCCAUGCUUCGAAUGGUAGCAAGAGUGGCAUAGGGCCAGCAGGUGGUGGCGGGGCUCCCAUUUCCGGUGGAGUCGUCUGGCUUCUCAUAGCCGCAUACAUAGCAUGUAUGUUAGUUGAUCACGCAAACAAGAAGGUCAGAAGAAAUGAAAUUGCAAAAAUUAGGUUGGUUCUAACUAGGCAGAACUAACCAUCAUCAUCUUGCGGUUGAACUCCUCGUUUGCCUGAACUCUUUUGCAGUACUCUCGUAGCUCCACGCACUUAAACUUGACAUACUUAGAGUAUGCCUACAAUAUGACAUGGUGAAACUCAUAAAUGGUAGCAGUGUCGUCAGUGGAGACGCCCCAGACCCCGGAGCCCCGCGAUGGGCGUCUACGCAUGCCACAUCACUUCCAGAAAUGCAUGAGGGCCCGUGCGAUGUUUUGGUGGCAUGGNNCCCCCCCCCCCCACCCCCGACUAGAGUAAACCCUGGCCCCGUUGACCCGACGAUCUAGACCUUUGACUUUCGCCAGACGGACUUUGACCAAUGGACUCUUCCAUCUGCUUGUGAUAGGUCAGCCCAUAGAAACAGCCCCGAACAUGGUAUGGGCCCAAACCACCAUUAGAUUUCCUUUGGCUUGACCCGGCGCGCAUGCUUCCCCCCUCCAAGCGAUGACGACAGUGUCGUCCGUGGAGGGGCCCACACCUCGGAGCACCACGAAGGGCGUCUACGCAUGCCACAUCACUUUCAGACAUGCAUGAGGACCCGUGUGAUGUUUUGGUACCGUAGCUACCCCCCCCCCCAAAGCCCCCUUACCGGACUAACCCUAGCCCUGUUGACCCAAAGAUCUAAGCAUUUAACUUUCAUCGAACGGGCUUUGACCAAUGGACUCUUCCACCAGGUUGUGAUAUGUCAGCCCAUAGGAACAUCCCUAAACAUGGCCUGGGAUCAACCCACCACUAGAUUCUCUCCGUCUCGACCCGACCCACAUGUUGGCAACGGCAGUGCCGUACGUGGAGGUGGGCACCCCGGAACAUGACACAACACUUUAAAAAAAAUUCCGAUGUAUGUAGAUAUAAAUUUAUCUCGUUUGGCUAAGGAAUGAAUAUUUUUCGCUAAUCUGAAGUAAACAUGAUUUUAGUUUGUUCAAAUUUGAAAACAUAGUAUAGCAAUAUAAUCCUUUCAAGAUUACGAUAGAAAAUCAUUUAAAAGUUAUCAAUGAGGUUACAUUUGAUUUUUACUAAGUACAAGGACCUAUAUGCAAAGCACAUGAGGUUCCAUUUCUAACAUACUCAAAAGCAAAAAACAAAUUGCAUAUUCAUAAUCUAUGGAAAAUUCUACCCCAAAUAGAUAUGUAAUUUGUAUAUGUUUAAGUUUGUAUAAAACAGAUUUAAAUUAAUCAAUUUUAAGUUUAAAAAAUUUAAAAUAGAAACUAAAAAAACGAAUAAUAUCUAUGCCUACGGCAUGCUCAUCGGUAUAGUAUUGCCACGUGGCACCUGUUGGGUAAACAAAUGUAUAAUAUCUAUGCUGACGGUGUAGUUUCGACUAUACCUGGCCAUGGGCAGCCCGACCCGGACGGCCCGACCCUAAGAUCCUGGGCCGGGUCGGGCCUAUUUGUGCCAUCGGGUCGGUCUCAAGCCUGGAAGUUGAGGCCGACGGCCAGGCUGUGCCGGGCCGUGCUCGGGCCUAUGGAAAAACAAAUUUAAGCCGCAAUCUGGUCGGGCCUCGUCGGGCUUGUUCGGGCUUGGACCCAAUAUUAAGGCCAUAUGGUCGGGCUAGGCCUGGCUCGGGCAUGGAAUUUUAGCACAGGGCUUUUAUUGGCCCGGCCCGGCCCGAGCUAUGCCCAUGUAUAGUUUGGACGAUGUUAGCCAGCCGCCUGAGCCCGGGUCGGCAGGCCGACCUAUGUGCCGAUGGCGGGGUUAUACCGACGGCUCCCGUCAGCAUCGGUUGAGAUAUGUCGACGGACAUUCUAUGCCUACGCCAACCGUCGGAAUAGAUCGAUAUAUGCCGAUGACUUUUCUAUGCGUAUGGCAUAGCUCAGCCUAUGCCGACGGUCCCGACAAAACACAGUGGGCAUACACAAUUAUUCCGGUAGUGGAUAAGCUAAAAAGUGCAGUGCCACACAGAUCCAUCCCAUAGUUCCAUGACAUAAUAGUGUAAGAAGCAGGGAUGGAAUACUAGACAGCUCUUGGUGGUAUAAAAUCUGCAGUUGGUGACCAAUAAAUAAUUCUUCAUUGAACAGAAGUGAUAUAACAGAGAGCCUGCAUGUUGUAGGAAUCGUUCCAGAGAUGCCCCGUCGAGUAGAGAUUGAUGAUGUGCCUGUGCUUGAACCUU